CCCCGGGACCCUAACCGUGCAAGGUAGCAUAAUCAUUUGCCUUUUAAUUGGAGGCUGGUAUGAAUGGUUUGACGAGAGCUGUGCUGUCUCUUCUGAAAUAUUUAGAAAUUAACUUUUAGGUGAAGAGGCCUAAAUUUAUUUAAGGGACAAGAAGACCCUGUUGAGCUUUAGUGAUGUUGCAAAUGAUAUAGAGUAAGUGUUACUAAUUUGUUAUGUAUUUAUUAUAAUAAAAAUUUGCAAAUAAUCUUUAGUUGGGGCGACUGAGGAACAUAAAAAGCUUCCUUAAAACGAAAUUAUUUAAUUUAUUAAAUGUAUGUAAAUGCUUACAUGUUAUUUUGAUCCAAGUUAUUUUGAUUAAAGGAAAAAGUUACCACAGGGAUAACAGCGUAAUCUUUCUGGAGAGAUCUUAUCGAAAGAAGGGUUUGCGACCUCGAUGUUGGACUAAGAUAUCCUAAGGGUGCAGAAGCUCUUAAAGGUUGGUCUGUUCGACCAUUAAAAUCUU
rnacentral:rRNA from 1 species